rnacentral:rRNA from 1 species
UACGUAGGGUGCGAGCGUUAAUCGGAAUUAUUGGGCGUAAAGCGCGUGUAGGCGGCUCGGUAAGUCUGCUGUGAAAGUCCAAGGCUCAACCUUGGAAAGCCGGUGGAUACUGUCGAGCUCGAGUCCGGAAGAGGCGAGUGGAAUUCCUGGUGUAGCGGUGAAAUGCGCAGAUAUCAGGAGGAACACCAAUGGCGAAGGCAGCUCGCUGGGACGGUACUGACGCUGAGACGCGAAAGCGUGGGGAGCAAACAGG